AACAAACGCUGGCGGCGUGCCUAAUACAUGCAAGUCGAACGGGGAAAGCUUUCGGGUGAGUACUAGUGGCGCACGGGUGAGUAACGCGUGGAUAAUCUGCCCUCGAAUGGGGAAUAACUAGUCGAAAGAUUAGCUAAUACCGCAUAAGACCACGACUACUGAGGUAGUUGGGGUCAAAGGAGCAAUUCGUUUGAGGAUGAGUCCGCGUAAGAUUAGCUAGUUGGUGAGGUAAUGGCUCACCAAGGCGAUGAUCUUUAACUGGUCUGAGAGGAUGAUCAGUCACACUGGAACUGAGACACGGUCCAGACUCCUACGGGAGGCAGCAGUAGGGAAUAUUGGACAAUGGGGGCAACCCUGAUCCAGCGACGCCGCGUGAGCGAUGAAGGCCUUCGGGUCGUAAAGCUCUGUUGUAAGGGAAAAAGUUCUGAUUGUACCUUACGAGAAAGGAUCGGCUAACUUCGUGCCAGCCGCCGCGGUAA
rnacentral:rRNA from 1 species